UAAGGAAUAUUGGACAAUGGAGGCAACUCUGAUCCAGCCAUGCCGCGUGCAGGAAGAAGGUCCUAUGGAUUGUAAACUGCUUUUGUAACAGAGAAAACCCCUGAACGUGUUCGGGGCUGAUAGUAUGUUAAGAAUAAGCAUCGGCUAACUUCGUGCCAGCAGCCGCGGUAAGACGAAGGAUGCAAGCGUUAUCCGGAUUCAUUGGGUUUAAAGGGUGCGUAGGCGGAUUUGCAAGUCGGUGGUGAAAUCUCCGGGCUUAACUCGGAAACUGCCAUUGAUACUGCAGAUCUUGAGUACAGAUGAUGUUGGCGGAAUAUGACAUGUAGCGGUGAAAUGCAUAGAUAUGUCAUAGAACACCGAUUGCGAAGGCAGCUGACAAAACUGUAACUGACGCUGAGGCACGAAAGUGCGGGGAUCAAA
rnacentral:rRNA from 1 species